GUAUAGAACCUACCUUUUACAGAGGGAUAGCCUUUAGAAAUGAAGAUUAAUACCUCAUAGAAUUGAGAAUCGGCAUCGAUUUUCAAUUAAAGAUUUAUCGGUAGAAGAUGGCUAUGCGUCCUAUUAGCUAGAUGGUUUGGUAACGGCAUACCAUGGCGACGAUAGGUAGGGGUCCUGAGAGGGAGAUCCCCCACACUGGUACUGAGACACGGACCAGACUCCUACGGGAGGCAGCAGUGAGGAAUAUUGGGCAAUGGAGGCAACUCUGACCCAGCCAUGCCGCGUGCAGGAAGAAGGUUCUAUGGAUCGUAAACUGCUUUUAUACAGGAAGAAACCUUGGUACGUGUACCAAGCUGACGGUACUGUAAGAAUAAGCACCGGCUAACUCCGUGCCAGCAGCCGCGGUAAUACG
rnacentral:rRNA from 1 species